rnacentral:rRNA from 1 species
AUUAAAUGCAAGUCGAGCGGAGUCUUUGUGAGCUUGCUCCUGUGCCUUAGCGGCGGACGGGUGAGUAAACGUGGGCAACCUGCCCUGCACAUCGGGAUAACUCCGGGAUACCGGUGCUAAUACCGAAUAGUUUUUUGCCCCUCCUGGGGCGAACCGGAAAGACUGUUUCGGCUGUCUCUGCAGGAUGGGCCCGCGGGGCCUUAGCUAGUUGGUGGGGUAAUGGCCCACCUGGGCUACCAUGCCUAGCCUACCUGACAGGGUGAUCGGCCACACUGGGACUGAUACACGGCCCACACUCCUACGGGAGGCAGCAGUAGGGAAUCUUCCGCAAUGGACGCAAGUCUGACGGAGCAACGCCGCGUGAGUGACGAAGGUUUUCGGAUCGUAAAACUCUGUUGUGAGGGAAGAACAAGUACCAACUAACUACUGGUACCUUGACGGUACCUCACCAGAAAGCCACGGCUAACUACGUGCCAACAGCCGCGGUAAUACGUAGGUGGCAAGCGUUGUCCGGAAUUAUUGGGCGUAAAGCGCGCGCAGGCGGUCCCUUAAGUCUGAUGUGAAAGCGCACGGCUCAACCGUGGAGGGUCAUUGGAAACUGGGGGACUUGAGUGCAAAAGAGGAGAGUGGAAUUCCACGUGUAUCCCUGAAAUGCGUAGAGAUGUCGAGGAACACCAGUGGAGCACGCGACUUUCUGGUCUGUAUCUGACCCUGUAGCGCGAAAGCGGGGGAACAAACGGGAUUAAAUACCCUUGUAUUCCCUGCGUAACCAUCAGUGCUAAUGAUAGGGGGUUUCGCCCGUUAUUGCUGCAUCUAACCUAUAAUCAACUCUCUGAGUACUACGGCCGCAAGCUGCACCUCAAUGAAAUUGACAGGGAUCGCAAAGCCUGAGCAUGUGUAAAUUCGAUACUGGAGACCUUACAAGACUGACAUCCCUCUGACUCUAAACC